UACGUAGGGUGCGAGCGUUGUCCGGAAUUACUGGGCGUAAAGAGCUCGUAGGUGGUUUGUCGCGUUGUCCGUGAAAACUCACAACUCAAUUGUGGGCGUGCGGGCGAUACGGGCAGACUGGAGUACUGCAGGGGAGACUGGAAUUCCUGGUGUAGCGGUGGAAUGCGCAGAUAUCAGGAGGAAGACCAGUGGCGAAGGCGGAUCUCUGGACAGUUCCUGACGCUGAGGCGCGAAGGCCAGGGGAGCAAACGGG
rnacentral:rRNA from 1 species